rnacentral:rRNA from 1 species
GACGAACGCUGGCGGCGUGCUUAACACAUGCAAGUGGAGCGACGAACCAGGGCUUGCCCUGGGGCAGAGCCGCGAACGGGUGAGUAACACGUGGGUAACGUGCCCCGAUGAUCGGGACAACCCGGGGAAACCCGGGCUAAUACCGAAUGUGCUCCCCUCACACCAGUGAGGGAUGGAAAGGAAGCUUCGGCCUCCGCAUCGGGAUCGGCCCGCGGCCCAUUAGCUUGUUGGUGAGGUAACGGCUCACCAAGGCUGCGAUGGGUAGCUGGUCUGAGAGGACGAUCAGCCACACUGGGACUGAGACACGGCCCAGACUCCUACGGGAGGCAGCAGUGGGGAAUCUUGCGCAAUGCGCGAAAGCGU